rnacentral:rRNA from 1 species
UACGUAGGGGGGCAAGCGUUUGUUCGGAAUUACUGGGCGUAAAGGGCGCGUAGGCGGCACGGCAAGUCAGGAGUGAAAGCCCGGGGCUCAACCCCGGAAUGUCUUUUGAAACUGCCGAGCUAGAGUGCGGAAGAGGCAACUGGAAUUCCCAGUGUAGCGGUGAAAUGCGUAGAUAUUGGGAGGAACACCAGUGGCGAAGGCGGCUCACUGGACCGGUACUGACGCUGAGGCGCGAAAGCGUGGGUAGCAAACAGG